rnacentral:rRNA from 1 species
CCUGACUGCUAUCGGAUUGAUACUAAGCCAUGCGAGUCUUUGCAGUAAUGCAAGGCAUACGGCUCAGUAACACGUAGUCAACUUACCCUAUGGACGAGGAUAAUCUCGGGAAACUGAGCAUAAUACUCGAUAGAUCAUAAUGCCUGGAAUGGUUUAUGGUUGAAAUGAUUCGUCGCCAUAGGAUGGGACUGCGGCCUAUCAGCUUGUUGGUGAGGUAAUGGCCCACCAAGGCGAUUACAGGUACGGGCUCUGAGAGGAGAAGCCCGGAGAUGGGUACUGAGACAAGGACCCAGGCCCUAUGGGGCGCAGCAGGCGAGAAAACUUUGCAAUGUGCGAAAGCACGACAAGGUUAAUCCGAGUGAUUUCUGCUAAAGGAAUCUUUUGCAAGUCAUAAAACCACUAGUGAAUAAGGGGUGGGCAAGUUCUGGUGUCAGCCGCCGCGGUAAAACCAGCACCUCAAGUGGUCAGGAGGAUUAUUGGGCCUAAAGCAUCCGUAGCCGGCUCUGUAAGUUUUCGGUUAAAUCCAUGUGCUCAACGCAUGGGCUGCCGAAAAUACUGCAUAGCUAGGGAGUGGGAGAGGUAGACGGUACUCAGUAGGAAGGGGUAAAAUCCUUUGAUCUAUUGAUGACCACCUGUGGCGAAGGCGGUCUACCAGAACACGUUCGACGGUGAGGGAUGAAAGCUGGGGGAGCAAACCGGAUUAGAUACCCGGGUAGUCCCAGCUGUAAACGAUGCAGACUCGAUGAUGCAUUGGCAUAUAGCCAGUGCAGUGUCGCAGGGAAGCCGUUAAGUCUGCCGCCUGGGAAGUACGUACGCAAGUAUGAAACUUAAAGGAAUUGGCGGGGGAGCACCACCAAGGGGUGAAGCCUGCGGUUC